CCUAGGGAGGCUGCAGUGGGGAAUAUUGGACAAUGGGCGAAAGCCUGAUCCAGCCAUGCCGCGUGUGUGAAGAAGGCCUUCGGGUUGUAAAGCACUUUCAGUGGGGAAGAAAGCCUUGGGGCUAAUACCCUCGAGGAAGGACAUCACCCACAGAAGAAGCACCGGCUAACUCCGUGCCAGCAGCCGCGGUAAUACGGAGGGUGCGAGCGUUAAUCGGAAUUACUGGGCGUAAAGCGCGCGUAGGCGGUCUGAUAAGCCGGUUGUGAAAGCCCCGGGCUCAACCUGGGAACGGCAUCCGGAACUGUCAGGCUAGAGUGCAGGAGAGGAAGGUAGAAUUCCCGGUGUAGCGGUGAAAUGCGUAGAGAUCGGGAGGAAUACCAGUGGCGAAGGCGGCCUUCUGGACUGACACUGACGCUGAGGUGCGAAAGCGUGGGUAGCAAACAGGAUUAGAUACCCUAGUAGUC
rnacentral:rRNA from 1 species